CUACUGCUCCAUGGACAGCAUGGGGGGUGUGUUUUUCUCACAACUUCAGUUUGAGGCAAGAGAGAAUCAGUGCUCAAUACUGCUGGAGGUGAGAGGAAGGGCAUCCCCCCUCCGAAUUGCUGGUCAGGAGAUACUGCAGCAGGAGUCUGAAGCUGAUAUUACUGGAUUUGGGUUUUCUUGCUGGUAUGAAGAUGAUCAGAAUCUGGCCUAGGGUGAGGGUGUUUGUGCUUUGGCAGUGGGUGUGAAAGCAGAAACUCCAGAGGGUUGGGCGGCAACAUGCUAGUUCUGUUCUCUUCCGUAGAUGGCCUUCCGGAGACACGCUGGGUGAGUGGAAAAUGUAAUGAAAUUCCCAGAGCCUCCUGGUGCACUACCAAGUCACAGGAAUCCAAUACAGUAUCGAGGAGCAAUUGCAGAAGGGCAACCCCUCACCAGUGGCAGUAGUAGCAAUAUUUAGCUUACAGAGAAAUUAGUGGUCUCAACUGCUCCAUUGUUACAGAAGCUGUUGCAAGUGGAUCCUAACAGGAAACAGAGCCGUAUGUCUCAGAAGGAAGGACCAGCUCUGCCAUUUGAACAAUCCUGCUCCAUCUGCUGCUGCUGCUGCUCCUAUUCCUGUAGCUGUGUAUGGAGUGGCAACUCCGUGAUGCCAGGGUUGCAGACACUUCAUCAGUCUGUCUGUCCUUGCUUGUGUGUUCCCAAUAAACCACGCUAGGAGAGGUCAUCACAAACUUGCAUUUUAGUGCUAGGCUUCAAUGGUUCAAGUUUGUUAGAAAUAAGAUGUCUGCCAUUGGCAAUUAGGGCUGGGAUAAAAAUUCCCUGGGCAUUCAGACCUGCAUUCAGACCCCUAUUGCUGGGGAUACUGCUGUUGCUGUGAGUUAGCUCCCAGAUGUGGUCUUUACAAGCCUGCUCUCACCAUGAGGGAUAAGAUCAUGGACAAAAACUAGCCAGAUCUAUUCCAUAGUUUGUCAUGUGUAGGCUAAACCUGUUCUGGGUUUAAUUCUCAGCUCCAGCUAAACUUUUAGUUCAGUGGAAACAGUAGUCUGCACAGCUGGCCUCAUAUUUCAUGCGUGGUAUGGAAAAAGGAGUCAGAGACGCUUCUGCAGUUUUCUGUCCUUAUCAAUGUGCAAUACUAAGGGUAAAACCAGGCAUCUCAUAGAGCAUCAGAGAGGCCAGAAGGUCUCCUUUGCUCUGUGUGGGGUUUUAUUGAGAUGGAUGUGGCCUGCACAGCCUGGAGCACAAGUUGUUUGUUUUAAUUUAGAAAUUAAAAAUAAAACCAUGUUUAUUUGCAUCAGUAAAGGGGUCUUUUUCUCACAGCUGCUUGAGAAGUGAGCUCUAGCUGCCAAGUAAAAUAAGGUUUAAUGUUACAGCUUGCACUGGGAAGAGCAGAGCUGGUAACUGCUCUGCAAGCAGCAAGACAGUAGUAGGUACAAUAUAUAGAAAUCCAUGUGAAGAACAGAGCUCAGC